UACGGAGGAUGCAAGCGUUAUCCGGAUUCAUUGGGUUUAAAGGGUGCGCAGGCGGGGAUGUAAGUCAGUGGUGAAAAGCUGCCGCUUAACGGUAGUCUUGCCAAUGAUACUACAUUUCUUGAGUAUGGUUAAGGUAGGCGGAAUGUGCAGUGUAGCGGUGAAAUGCAUAGAGAUUGCACAGAAGGCCGAUUGCGGAGGCAGCUUACUGAGCCAUAACUGACGCUGAGGCACGAAAGCGUGGGGAUCGAACAGGAUUAGAUACCCUGGUAGUCCACGCCGUAAACGAUGUUCACUCGCUGUUUGCGAUAUACAGUAAGCGGCUAAGCGAAAGCAUUAAGUGAACCACCUGGGGAGUACGAUCGCAAGGUUGAAACUCAAAGGAAUUGACGGGGGCCCGCACAAGCGGAGGAACAUGUGGUUUAAUUCGAUGAUACGCGAGGAACCUUACCUGGGCUUAAAUGUAGAUUGCAUGAAUCGGAGACGGUUCUUUCCUUCGGGACUAUUUACAAGGUGCUGCAUGGUU
rnacentral:rRNA from 1 species